rnacentral:rRNA from 1 species
AUUGAACGCUGGCGGAAUGCUUUACACAUGCAAGUCGAACGGCAGCACGGACUUCGGUCUGGUGGCGAGUGGCGAACGGGUGAGUAAUGUAUCGGAACGUGCCCAGUCGGGGGGGAUAACGUAGUGAAAAUUACGCUAAUACCGCAUACGAUCUAUGGAUGAAAGCGGGGGAUCGCAAGACCUUGCGCGAUUGGAGCGGCCGAUAGCAGAUUAGGUAGUUGGUGGGGUAAAGGCCCACCAAGCCAACGAUCUGUAGCUGGUGCGAGAGGACGACCAGCCACACUGGAACUGAGACACGGUCCAGACUCCUACGGGAGGCAGCAGUGGGGAAUUUUGGACAAUGGGCGAAAGCCUGAUCCAGCCAUUCCGCGUGCAGGAUGAAGGCCCUCGGGUUGUAAACUGCUUUUGUACAGAACGAAAAGGUUUCUACUAAUACUAGGAGCUCAUGACGGUACUGUAAGAAUAAGCACCGGCUAACUACGUGCCAGCCGCCGCAGUAA